UACGUAGGGUGCGAGCGUUAAUCGGAAUUACUGGGCGUAAAGGGUGCGCAGGCGGCUAUAUAAGUUAGAUGUGAAAUCCCUAAGCUUAACUUAGGAAUGGCAUUUGAUACUGUAUAGCUAGAGUUUAUCAGAGGGAGGUAGAAUUCCAAGUGUAGCAGUGAAAUGCGUAGAUAUUUGGAGGAAUACCGGUGGCGAAGGCGGCCUUCUGGGAUAAAACUGACGCUCAGGCACGAAAGCGUCGGGUAGCAAACAGG
rnacentral:rRNA from 1 species